UGGGGAAUAUUGGACAAUGGGCGCAAGCCUGAUCCAGCAAUGCCGCGUGGAUGAAGAAGGUUUUCGGAUUGUAAAGUCCUUUCGGCGGGGACGAUGAUGACGGUACCCGCAGAAGAAGCCCCGGCUAACUUCGUGCCAGCAGCCGCGGUAAUACGAAGGGGGCUAGCGUUGCUCGGAAUGACUGGGCGUAAAGGGCGCGUAGGCGGAAUGCUUUGUCGGGCGUGAAAUUCCAGGGCUUAACCUUGGGGCUGCGUUCGAGACGGGUAUUCUAGAGUGGAGAAGAGGGUCGUGGAAUUCCCAGUGUAGAGGUGAAAUUCGUAGAUAUUGGGAAGAACACCGGUGGCGAAGGCGGCGACCUGGUCUUUUACUGACGCUGAGGCGCGAAAGCGUGGGGAGCAAACAG
rnacentral:rRNA from 1 species